UUUUUAAAUAAAAAUGUUUAUUUAUUUAAAAGAGUUAGAGAGAGAGAGGGAGAGAUCUUCCAUAAGCAGGUUCUCUCCCCAGGUGGCCAUAGUGGCCAGUGCUGGGCCAGGCCAAGCCAGGGGCCAGGAGUUUCAUCUGAAGUUCUCCCUCGUGAGUGGCAUGGGCCUAAGCACCUGGGCCAUCGCCAUGGCUUUUCCCAGGCCACUGCAAGGAGCUGGAUCAGAAACUGAGCAACUGGGACACCAACCGGUGCCCAUAUGGGAUGCUGGUGUUGCAGGCAGCGGCUUUAACCACUAUGCCACAAUGCCGGCCCCAUGAAUAUCUCCUGUGGGAUGUGAUUGAGCAUAGGACGUCCUGCAUUUAUAAAUUAACUCGGACUGGAAGUAAGUCGGGGAAAGCGGUAUGCUAGAGGUGGGCAAACUCGGGCCUGCUAAGCCACCGACCUGGCCUGGAUGGGCGGCCCAAGACAGAGCACGGGGAGCUGACCAAUGAGAAAGACACUGCACACCCUGGCGCGCACUGCAAUCUCGCGUUGUUUGGGGAGGUCCUUCCACCCCCCUGACCCCCCGUGGUAACGCAUGCGCUGAGACCUCGCUGUUCUGGGCGCAUGCCCCCAGCAGGCCCUUUUCCGGCAGCGAUUGUGAGCAAGUUGGUCGCGUCCGCUCCUCCGGGUCUGUCCAGACUUGCAACAUGAGCUGCUACAGUAAGGCGUCUGGUUUUAGCGACGGUAAUGGCUCCAGUAGUGAGGAGCAGGCCAGCCCUGGUAGCCCCGGAGCCCUGCAGGCUACUGGAAUAGGCUUGGACCAGGGUGAGGGCGAGGGCGGAGGUGCGAGCUGGGAGGAGGGCGGGCCCUCAAGCCCGCAGGUUCUCAACCCGCAGCUGGAGUUCAAGUCUGGGUGCCAGUCUGAGUCCAAACUGGGAAUGACACAGGCGGAAGCCGCAGCUCUCUGGGGCUGCAAGACUAAGCCACGGAAGCCCACCCCCGUGGGAGAGUGCUCUGCAAGUUCCGCAUUCCAGUUUGCUGCGGCGUAUGCAGCUGUUGUGCAAAUGCUGACCGACCCCAGUGCCGGGGCCUUGCACAGAUUCCUGAGUACAGGAAGUGGCGCCGCCGAAGAAGCGGCCGCCGUUUGUGCGCAUGUCGAGGUAGACCCCAGCAGCCGAGGCAUGCUGGGCCGGAGCAGUCUGGGAUCACUGCAGGCUUGUGCCACCGCCUCUCGUGCUCUUGGGGAAUUCCGGGUCCGGGGCCGCAGCAAGAGAAGAAGCGCCAGACGUCGCUUGAACAUUGGCACCGAUAGCCAUUGCUGCUUCGGAGAAGGCAUGGUGGGGCUGCCUCCUGACCCUGAGCCCUGCGAUGAGCUCUGGAAUGUGCAGCCCAUGAGGGUUCCAGCACAGAGAUCAGGGAUGCCUUGCUGUUGCAUGCAUCAUGGAGAAUUCAAAAGUCUAUACUUCAAUACCGAAAACUCACAAGUUCCAGAAAAUUCACAGCCUUUGAGUCUGAGCCAGGGAGGUGUCACACCUAGAGGCGCUGCACACUGGGGUGCCCCGGAACCACCUGUUCAUCCUCAGACACCAGAUAUGAAGAAAUUGCCACCUGGAAUGCAAAGGUGUCUUCAGAAGGAAGUAGACGACCUUAGAGAGCAACCAGAAGACAUUUCCACAUCGGAGUUGGAAUCCCUCACUGAGAAGUUCCAGAGGCUGUGAAGUUGAACUCAGCAUCUUCUAUUAGACAAGUAGCUACUACCUGUGGAGCCCAGGAGCUAUGGCCCAGGCGUUUCCCUCCAGUUCCUCUUCAGCCAGAGCCUCCUGUCUGCCCAAACACUUGUCUCCUUCCCUACCCCAGUUCACAGCAGUUUCAAGUUAGAGUAGCUUUCAUGUUCCGUGCUCUGCUGUCUCUGGGCGAGGGCGGUUGAAGAACUGCUCCGUGUCAGAGCAUGUUAGGAACAGUUCCUCUGUUUAGGUUGUGCUACAAUAAACACAUGUUUGAAUGGCA
ensembl:lncRNA